AAAAGACUGAUACAAAUAAAUGGUUGAUGACUGGUGCUGGCACAAAACACUAAUUUUGAUUUGAGGUUUGUCUUGCCAAAAUAGCUCUGGCUUUGUUGGACUCUUGACUGCUUGUGUGGGUGUGUAUGUGUGUAUGAGUAUGGAUGAAAGUACAUGAAUGUUUUUUCUGAGCAUUUUCCUGUGUUUAAUGUCAAUAGGAAUCUUGAAAUAAUUUAAACCAUUGUGAGAAGGCCCAAUCUGUAGUGGGAGAUUUCCCUGAGGUACAGAUUUGUACUUCUUGUCACCUGUUAGCUUGGUAAGAGAUAAUUUAUACAUAUGGAAAUAAAAACAAUUUUCCAUGUACUAUUGGUAUUUUAAUUCUGAAACACUUGUUACAUUUGUCUCUUACUUGUUUAACCUUGUUGUAAGUUGAAGUAGCACAUGGUGCCUUAAAUUAGUGAUGGAAGUUUACUUGAAGGAAAUUAAUUUUGAGGCAGAAUUUGAACAAAGAGAACCAAUUGCUGUGUUUUUCUUAAAUAAUUUGGUCUAGGUAGGUCUAAGGAGAGGAGAGCAAUAGUUAUCUUUGUUAGUGAGACAAAACAUGAGGAGCCAUGAUGUAGAUUCAGUUAAGAGAGCAAAGACCACAGCAGGUGGAUAAAAGAGGAAACAAGGGACAGAAUUAAUUACUAUUAUUGAUUGUAUUUUGUAGUGCCUGGAGGGAUCAGCUGAGGCAAGGGUGCCACUGUGCUGCUGUGCAAAUGUGCAGUGUGUCACAAUUCCUGCCUCAAAGAGCAGAGGAAUGGUGAGAUGAGAGCAAGGGCCAGGGAAAUUAAAUAGUGUGCCCAGGAAGAUGUCUUGGAGUUCAUUCCAAUCUCCUCUGGAUUCACGGUGAAUUUGAAUAUGAAGAAUUGGAGGGCUAUGCCUUUGAAGAUGAGAGCAUAUAAUACAGACAUUAUAUGGGAGGAUACUGGAAGUCAGUGCACAGGUUCAAGGCCUCAUGGACAGAUGACUGAACAAAAAAAGAAAAGGGUAGGAAGGAAGAGAAAUGCUGCUGCUUUCAGUACUAUGGAGGAAAUAUAUAGUAUAUAA
rnacentral:lncRNA from 1 species